CGCAGUCCCCCACUACCAGAAAUUAUGCAGAACUGAACCGUAGACAACCAAUCGAAUCACAGCUGAAAUUAGACAAACAAUCACAGCCCUCGUUCGGCUCCUGUGUGGGUUAAAAAGCGACUCGACAUUACGACAACACAGACCGUUAUAUGUAUUACAAAUCAGAGUUUAUUUCUGCGCCCUACUUUAAUUGCAAAGCUGCCUGCGGACAUAGGGUGACCUGUCUUGCGUGUUUAUGUGUAAUUGCUGCUAGCAUAAAAGUGAAGAUGGCAACGCUCCAUGUUGUGAACCCAGGCGCACCUGCACAUGGCCGUAAAGGCUGUAUUAGCGGCAACCAAAGAGGCAGGUCAUUACCCGGAGAAGUCGAUGAUCAAAGCUCUGCUUCUGUACCCCCCCACUGCUCUGGACCAUGCAGAGAUCUUCACAACAGAGAGAUCCCUGCACCAAGACAGGAGUGUCUGGGAAGGCUGGUGUCGCUUUCUGGCCAGUGUGGACUUGCACCUUUCCACUAGCUUGUGGUAAAAUAUGUAGUAAGUAUGUUUUGUUUAGGAGAAAGAUAAACUUUAUUGAUCCCACAGUGGGGAAAUUCAGCAAGAAACUAACCUGGACCAAUUAAUCUUGUAAUGAUGUAUAUGAUUGUGUUAAUAUGAUUGUGUUGAUGUUCAAGUAUGAUUCUUAGUUCCUGCAGUGGCUAUUUCCAGAUUCCAAAUUGUAAGUCCCUGCUUGCAAGUGUUUUCUGUUAGCUGAUCUUGAGUACUGUGCCUUUUGCAAUUUAACCUUUAGUUAAUAAAAGUUUGAAACUGCCUUCGUUGUAGUGCAUUUUGAGUCCAGCAGAGGUUACUAUGUAAACAUGUCUCAGUAUAUCUUUGAAGGUUUUUUCAGACAAAUUUGGAGAUUUUGCUUUUUUUGCCAUUUACCAAAUUAGAAUUUUAAAUGUCUACUUCCCUCAUAAAACAAAAUACUGUAGACGGCAUUAUGCAAUCACCCAAAUGUUAAACAGAUGCCAUAGGAACAAAACAGUCUACCUGAACUAUUGCCUUUAUAAAACUACAAGGAGGAGAAAAAGUACAUAGUUUGGAAAACCACUCCUUGACAAGAUCACCCACACAGGCAGCGUAUGACAACCAACAGCUACAACUGUACAGUGUACAGUAUGAGGGUUAUGGAAAGACAACUGUCAGAUCAGAUGCUGUUGUACCAUGUCAGUAUGUGGUACUGUUGGGUUUAUUCAUGCUUUCAGGCCCUGACAUCAUUCAGAACUCCACCAGGUAGGUGCGGGCCUUCAUGAGGCGUUUAUGGCGACUUUGCAAAGCUGCCCUCUUGCUGCCAAUGUCCAUGUCCUCCUUCAGGAAGAACUCCAAAUUCUCUUUGUCAUGAAGCAUCUGCAGCAUCUCACUCUGCAGCUGGACAGCAGACUCCUGCAACAUCUGGUAGCGGAUCACCAGCGGGAUCUGGUCCGCCAGACGCUGGCUGGCGAUCUGAAGGUGAAACCCAUGACUGUUACUGGAGAAACAUGUUAAAGCCUGUCUACAUCCCAGUGUCGUUCAUUCAUCCAAAUUUAAACCUACCUUGUAAUAGGACUUAAGGUGCAACAUCAGCUCCUGAAGGGUUGUGUUAUUAUUGCUGUGAAAAACAAAGCUUACAGAUAAUUGAGGGCUUUCCCUGCCUUCCUCCUCUGUCAUUUCUUUCUUUCUGUCACUCAGGCUGCUGCUGUACAUCCUGUCCUGGGAGUAAACGAGCAUCUCCAUCUUGAACUGAGUUCUUAUCAUGGACUCAGCAGUGGGCUCUCUCGCUUGCUUAAUGGCUUCAAUCUUUGC